GGCACGCAGGGCUUGGCCUUCCACAUGCACAAUGAUCCUCGUCUGUCUGUGCAAUAGAUCACAAAGCCCAUCAACUGCCUACCUCCAAAAAGCCAGCCCCUGGCACACGCAGUGGUGGAACGAACAGCUCCAGAUACCACAGCCUCCCAGGCUAAUCCUUCCCUCUCCCUUCCCUGCUCUGCAUACACCUGACUGCAAUAACAGCAGAGAUACCAUCUGGGGUUAGCUCGUUACAUGUUUAUUGCCCCUUUGUUUACUUCUUCAUAAAUAUAAACUGUUGUUACCUGCACAUACCUGUGCAUCCAGCCCAGUUCUGGUGAGCUUUAAAAGCCCCAAAUUGAAAAUAGCCUAAAGAUGUGAAGAAUCACAGCACCGCAGUCCAAAAGGCAGCCAGCUAGCUGAGGUAUUUAGGGAGAACCAUUGCAACAUACAGCAUGGCCCAGUGGCAGAGGCAGCGGUGAAUGAAGGACCUACCUGACGGCAAGGCUGAAAAGCUGUGUUACGAAGGAAAGAGGCACAAAAGGCUGGGAGGACAGAGCAGGGGAAGGGAAAGGUGCGGCCAAGGAGAAGCUCUGUGGCUGGGGCGGCCGUGGGCAGAGCAGCCCGGUCCCUGUUCCCAUCAGAUAGCCCAGCCAGCGGGCUGGUGACUCACUGGGAUUUGCUGGGAGGGAGCCGAACGCUGCACGCUGCCAGGAGAGGAGCAGAGCUAACCCGGGGCACUGCCAGCCCCUAGGCAACCCCUCCUGGCAGCCCCACUGGCCCUUGGGAGCAAAGACAUCUGCAAAGGAAAAGAAAGUGAGGAGGGAAUGCCGGUAUUUGCCCAGUUUUACCUUUAUACAAUAAAAUAAAUUUAAGAAAUCCCAGCUUGAAAUCACAAGGCGUAGCCUGGCAAACUUAACAGGAAAGGGCAAGGAGCAAAUUAUUUAAGGCAGUGAUGGCAGUGUCUCCCACACACCCUUACACUCCCUUAUGGAUCUGGGUGUUAUCGGGCCAAAGAAUUUAAAUUAAACCUCAAGUGCCCACCUCCAACCCUGACCAUUGAGUUUUUCUUCAAAACAGGGAGAGCAGGUCGGAAGGUUUGCUGGCUGGAAGCCUCCGAACACUGGAAGAGCUCAGACAUUUAUGAGUGCACUCGAGUGCGCUAAUGAACUUUGACAGUGGUGGUGGAAGCAGGGGCAAGCACCGCUGUAGCUUUCACGCUGCUCCUUCUGGAAAACGCGCAGAGAAAGUACGAAGGAAACUGGGGGGAGUUCACAGCCAUUUCUCGGGAUUAUUUCACAACUAUUCGAUGUAUCUACUGAUUACAGCAGGGUUUGGCUUCAAUAAGCUAGAGAGUUUUGAAGACUAUAUUGACUUCUACAAUCAGUUUGAGGAGAAACAAACAAAAAAAAAUAGGGAAAGGACUUAACUUUUUUAUUAUAUUUUAUAAGGUUUGGCAGAAAGGUAAAGUUACUCAGUAAUCUUGUCCUGACCGUAGGCAAAACCACAAUGAUCCUAUUCCCAGUUUAAUCAACAGUUCACACAUUUUUAUAAAGGAUUUAGAUUAAUCAAUCCGUAAACACUCAGACCUAAUUUCUGGACAGUCUUUGCAUUUUAAACCUGCCUCUGCCAUAAUAAUUGAAUUUACUCUCUCCCUGUUCAACCAGAGGAGAGAAUACCCCAAAUUUCCUUUAGAAGAUCCAAAAUGGAAAAAAUACUUCCCCCACAGGCAAAGGGCUUUACUGCCAUGCUGAGGUCUAUCUACAUUCCAUUAAUUUUUGUUUUUUCACCUUAAUCCCAUGAUCACUUUUAAACGGUACUUGUUUCCCAAAAAUGCUCUGAUUCUCACUCAAUUCUCUGUAGUUUCCUGAAUUCCGUAGCCCAGAUUCACUGCUGGCGUAACGGUACAACAACACUGACCUCAGAAAAUGCCUCCUGGAAAGAUGCUCAGCUAAGCAUCCCGCAUGCCACAGCAGUCCCUAGCCCAACCCUCAGUGGACCCCUGGCUCGCUACAGUGUGCCCUGGAAGCAUCGUGUUCGUCACGCAGCCAAGGAGGAGAUGUAAAGAUCAGUUUUAGAUCAGGGCCUCACGUGAAAUAAUCUAGGUCAAUACAGGAGAUGUAAGAAGACAGUCUGACACACGAAGAAGAUGGGGUGCUCUCCUCCCAUUUCCAGGGGAUGGACUGAUCACAAUGCAUGGACAAUUGGCUCCAAAUAGCCAAGUGACAUUUAAACAAGCAUAAUGGCUGCAGGUAUGCUGUACAAACUGGUCUCCCUCUAACUGGCAGUCCUUACGUUAUUAGCACACACAAUAAUUUAAAAAGCAUUGUUUCGUGGCAUGAUUCCAGUGCCUGCUUCUCCCCACUGCCUUGCUUAGUGCCUGCAUUAACCUCAUUCUAUAAGUCCCAGGACCUCUGACUCUUACAGCUGAAUUCAUAAAAAAUGUAAGCCCUCACUAUGUGGGAUUUUUGCCUGCUUCUUUCCAAGUGCAUGUUUUUCUGACUCAUUGAACCUGGCUUCCCCAGCUUGUGCUACAGCAGGUUGCAUUAGCUACAAUAGGCACCCAUGGAAAUGGAUUGAUUAAGAAAAAAACAAGAGGGAAAAAAAAAAAAGAUAGCAAAGGCACAUGUUAUGCUUUAGCCUACCAGAUUCCUGUACAUGCUACAAAAAUGCUUGGAAAAACCCUGUCCAAAAGAAAGCAAACAGCAGAAAAACGUAUGUUGCCAACAGUUGCUCAGCUGUUUACUGCUCAGCAGAAAGGAGGACCAACAUGCAGCACAGAGGAGUCCAGUGGGGUGCACACGAGAUGCACCAGCAUGGCUUCUUUGACUCAAAUCUCCCUCUGAACAUAAAGAGUCUCAUCUGAGAACAGAACUCUUCUUUUCGUCUAUUUUUAUGAAGCACUCAGAAAAGGAAAAAAGGACCCAGGUCGUCUAAAUGAGGCAGCUCUGGAGGGACAGGAAUAACUUCUUUGCAGAACCAUUCUCUGUCCUAAACCUGAACCACACCAGAAAUGCAUGAUCCAGUCCCUCUAUAAAAAUAAAUAAAUAAAUAAAUAAAUAACAUAAAAUAUAGCCAUUUCACUGCAAAAUGUGUAAUGGCCCACUCUUGCUUCUACCUUUCCUACUCUGGCUUGUGAACUGAAGAGCAGUCCUCAUCACAGCUACCUACACCAUACACUACUGCUUGCCCUACUUUCAUUGACACAGAGCAUUAUAUUUGUUCACAAGAGUUCUGUCUCUGUGCACACAAACAGAACAGCCCAGUUCACUUCCUGGCACAGACAAAUACACAAAAACAUCCACAUGUAUCUGACAGAAAGAGAGGAGAAGUGAUGACAAAAAUCUACUGCAGAAUGGGCAGAAGAAGACUCCAUCCUGAAUAUGCCAGGUGAGGCUGUACAAGUGAACUGUUUAGCAUAUGCUAUGUACAAGUAAAUGGCAAUUUACUGAGGAAAAGAAAGAAUAAUUGCAAACAUUUAUGCCUCAUACAUGUGUAUGAAACAAAAAAUCUCUUAGAAAGCUUGCCCAACCAAAAGGCAAGACACCUGACAAACACUACCCCUAAUUUUGUCGCUUUGUAGGUGAUUGCUUCCUUCCUUCUCUUCCUGCAUUUGAUUUCUUAUCUUCUUCAGAAGUGCUCACCAAGAGACACACAGACAACUCCCUGAAAAGGGUGGAAAAGAGGUGGCAGCAGGGAGAGGCUGGUCCUAUCCAGCAAACCACCCACCAAACACAAAAGCGAUUCCUCGCCAUUUGCUGAGUACAAAGAUGCAUCGUACCACAACUUCAAAGCCAGGUCUGUUCUUCCUUCAGACAGCUGAGGUGUUUCUGGAUGUAUUGGCUGUUGAUAGCCAUGGCAGUGCCUGAGCCUUGCCUACUGUGCCCCAUUAGAGUAGUCUUUAUUUAUGCUGGUGUUUUCUGGAAAGUACUGCACAAGUGCCAAGAAAAGAGAAGACUCUGAUUUGUUUGGGUCUUCUGUCAGAGUAGCAGGCAACCUGCCAUCAGCGGUGCCUCUUUGUAACCAAACUACUCUCUCCCUUGUAAAGUACUGAU